rnacentral:lncRNA from 1 species
CUCACUGAUAGGCUUGGUGGAUGCUGAUGUUCUUCCUCAGGCCAAGAAGUUGCGACAGGUUCAUGGACGGGGGCAGGUUCCCUGGGGUGUCUGCAAACUCCAGCUCUGGCACACCAGCGUCUGCACGUUGCCACCCACCAGGAAGGUGGCGAACACCAGGAGGAUGAGGGGUGCAGCAAAGAGGAAGCUGAGGCCCACACCUCUG